AAGGUUGAGGUGUUAGGAGGUGG
rnacentral:piRNA from 1 species